GUGGGGAAUCUUGCGCAAUGGGCGAAAGCCUGACGCAGCCAUGCCGCGUGAAUGAUGAAGGUCUUAGGAUUGUAAAAUUCUUUCACCGGGGACGAUAAUGACGGUACCCGGAGAAGAAGCUCCGGCUAACUUCGUGCCAGCAGCCGCGGUAAUACGAAGGGGGCUAGCGUUGCUCGGAAUUACUGGGCGGAAAGGGCGCGUAGGCGGACAGCUUAGUCAGAGGUGAAAGCCCAGGGCUCAACCUUGGAAUUGCCUUUGAUACUGGCUGUCUUGAGUUUGGGAGAGGUGAGUGGAACUCCGAGUGUAGAGGUGAAAUUCGUAGAUAUUCGGAAGAACACCAGUGGCGAAGGCGACUCACUGGCCCAAUACUGACGCUGAGGCGCGAAAGCGUGGGGAGCAAACAGGAUUAGAAACCCCUGUAGUCC
rnacentral:rRNA from 1 species